rnacentral:rRNA from 1 species
AUUGAACGCUGGCGGCAGGCCUAACACAUGCAAGUCGAGCGAGCGGCGGACGGGUGAGUAAUGUAUGGGGACUGCCCGCUAGAGGGGGAGAACUACUGGAAACGGUAGCUAAAACAGCAUACAAUAGGAGACCCCAUAUGGGAUUAGCUAGUUGGUGAGGUAAUGGCUCACCUAGGCGACGAUCCCUAGCUGGUCUGAGAGGAUGAUCAGCCACACUGGGACUGAGACACGGCCCAGACUCCUACGGAGGCAGCAGUGGGGAAUAUUGCACAAUGGGCGCAAGCCUGAUGCAGCCAUGCCGCGUGUAUGAAGAAGGCCCUAGGGUUGUAAAGUACUUUCAGUCGGGAGGCGUUACCGGCAGAAGAAGCACCGGCUAACUCCGUGCCAGCAGCCGCGGUAAUUC